UGGGGAAUAUUGGACAAUGGGCGAAAGCCUGAUCCAGCCAUGCCGCGUGUGUGAAGAAGGUCUUCGGAUUGUAAAGCACUUUAGGUUGGGAGGAAGGGCAGUAAGCGAAUACCUUGCUGUUUUGACGUUACCGACAGAAUAAGCACCGGCUAACUCUGUGCCAGCAGCCGCGGUAAUACAGAGGGUGCAAGCGUUAAUCGGAAUUACUGGGCGUAAAGCGCGCGUAGGUGGUUCGUUAAGUUGAAUGUGAAAGCCCCGGGCUCAACCUGGGAACUGCAUCCAAAACUGGCGAGCUAGAGUAGGGCAGAGGGUGGUGGAAUUUCCUGUGUAGCGGUGAAAUGCGUAGUUAUAGGAAGGAACACCAGUGGCGAAGGCGACCACCUGGGCUCAUACUGACACUGAGGUGCGAAAGCGUGGGGAGCAAACAGG
rnacentral:rRNA from 1 species